rnacentral:misc_RNA from 1 species
GAUGAAGAACGCAGCGAAAUGCGAUAGUAAUGUGAAUUGCAGAAUUCAGUGAAUCAUCGAAUCUUUGAACGCACAUUGCGCCCAUCAGUAUUCUGUUGGGCAUGCCUGUCCGAGCGUCAUUUCAACCCUCAGGGCCCGUUCGCGGGAACUGGUGUUGGGGAUCGGCCUCCCCCCGGAGGCCGGCCCCGAAAUGCAGUGGCGGCUCUACCGCGAUCUCCUCUGUGUAGUAGCGAUACCUCGCAGCUGGAUAGUGGUGGUGCCACGCCGUAAAAUCCCAACUUUACCAAGGUUGACCUCGGAUCAGGUAGGAAUACCCGCUGAACUUAAGCAUAUCAAUAAGCGGAGGA